rnacentral:lncRNA from 1 species
GCCGUGGGGCUGCCGGCCCUGCUGCUCCUGCUGCUGGUGCUGGGGCUCAGCGUCCUCGUCCUGCGGCGCCGCCAGGCUGCCAAGAUCCCGACCGGGGAGGAGCCCGGCCAGCGCACCCCCAUCUACAAAGGCAGCCUGGAGUCGGUCCCCUCGGUGGCGGGGGACCAGCAGCCCCUGGUGCUGUGAGAUGGGCCCUGCCCCCCCCCGGCACAGGCAGAACCGCACGGCUGUCACAGAUGAGCUUCAGCCACUUCUGUAAUCAGCUGGAGGGAGGGUUAUGGGGGGGCUUUCGGGGAGGAGGAAAUUAUUGGGGGCUCAGCUGCGUUUUCGGGGGGAGCUUAUUAU